AAACUCCACAAUUAAGCGCGCUUGAGCCAGAGGCGUCUUGGGAUGGGUUACCACCUGGGAAGUCCUGGUUACCGGGUGCA
rfam:Picea glauca, whole genome shotgun sequence.